UACGUAGGUGGCGAGCGUUAUCCGGAAUUAUUGGGCGUAAAGAGCGCGCAGGUGGUUGAUUAAGUCUGAUGUGAAAGCCCGCGGCUUAACCGUGGAACGGCAUCCGGAACUGUCAGGCUAGAGUGCAGGAGAGGAAGGUAGAAUUCCCGGUGUAGCGGUGAAAUGCGUAGAGAUCGGGAGGAAUACCAGUGGCGAAGGCGGCCUUCUGGACUGACACUGACGCUGAGGUGCGAAAGCGUGGGUAGCAAACAGGAUUAGAUACCCCGGUAGU
rnacentral:rRNA from 1 species